UACGUAGGUGGCAAGCGUUGUCCGGAUUUACUGGGCGUAAAGAGCGCGCAGGCGGUCAUUCAAGUCGCGUGUGAAAGCCCCCGGCUCAACUGGGGAGGGUCACGCGAUACUGAUCGACUCGAAGGCAGGAGAGGGAAGUGGAAUUCCCGGUGUAGUGGUGAAAUGCGUAGAUAUCGGGAGGAACACCAGUGGCGAAGGCGACCUCCUGGCCUGUUCUUGACGCUGAGGCGCGAAAGCCAGGGGAGCAAACGGG
rnacentral:rRNA from 1 species